rnacentral:rRNA from 1 species
AUCUAUGCUCAUACCAUCCUGAACAAGCCCAACCUCAUCUGACCUCAGAAGCUAAAUGUGGCUGGGCCUGGUUAGUACUUGGAUGAAAGAAACAAUACUUUUCUGCCAGUUUAUGUG